rnacentral:rRNA from 1 species
GACGAACGCUGGCGGCGUGCCUAAUACAUGCAAGUUGAGCGCUGAAGGUUGGUACUUGUACCAACUGGAUGAGCAGCGAACGGGUGAGUAACGCGUGGGGAAUCUGCCUUUGAGCAGGGGACAACAUUUGGAAACGAAUGCUAAUACCGCAUAAAAACUUUAAACACAAGUUUUAAGUUUGAAAGAUGCAAUUGCAUCACUCAAAGAUGAUCCCGCGUUGUAUUAGCUAGUUGGUGAGGUAAAGGCUCACCAAGGCGAUGAUACAUAGCCGACCUGAGAGGGUGAUCGGCCACAUUGGGACUGAGACACGGCCCAAACUCCUACGGGAGGCAGCAGUAGGGAAUCUUCGGCAAUGGACGAAAGUCUGACCGAGCAACGCCGCGUGAGUGAAGAAGGUUUUCGGAUCGUAAAACUCUGUUGGUAGAGAAGAACGUUGGUGAGAGUGGAAGGCUCACCAAGUGACGGUAACUACCCAGAAAGGGACGGCUAACUACGUG